UGCUGGGGGCCCGCAGGCGCGGUUGUUACACACUGAAUCGCAUCCGUCGCCCAGUGUGCAGCAAGGCAAUAAUUACACACUCGAGAGAGACAUUGAUUAUUUAUCCCAGAGCUGCGCGAGCCUGGGUGCGCGGGGUACUCCACAAACCAAGCACGCCAAUUAUCAAAACUUUUUACUAUUUAUACAUUCUAGCCGACAAAAGAAAUUCCUGUUCAUUGGCUAGCAUUGGCUAGUUACAUGGUUCUCUUAAUUAUCAGAAUUCUAUCUUCUGUUGUUAAUGAUUCCCUCAUUUCUUGUGCUAAUUAGUCCGCGUGCUCAGUGUUUCUCUUUGGGUUGGUGGGCCAUGAGUCGGUGGUCGUGACUCCCCUACCACAAUUACCUUUUACCCAGUCGGAGCUGACUCAGCACGGUUGCUGAGUUGUCUGUAUUAGUUUCUUCCUUAUCUUGGGAAUUCUGUUAAAUCCUGCAUUCUUUGUGUCCAGUAUCAAUGGACAUCCUUCUUCCCAGGCUUUGCCAACCUUCCCAUAGGCCUUGAGGUCAGUGGAACGUGUCAUGCCCUAAACUGUGACAAGGCUUGAAAGUAUACAAAGAUCAAGCAAAGAACCACUUUCUUAUGAAAAUUGUACAUAGCAACACUGUCUCUGCAGAGGGGCAUGUCCAGCACUCCCGUUGUCACAGCCAAAGUUGAUCCUACAGAGAUGCUACAAACACACACAUUUGUACAUGAGGAAAACGUUCCUGCAGCACAAAAUGAAGCCAUAAGGUACGCAAGAAAAAAGCCCAGUACAUGCCCUAACCUGCUAUGAUGGGCACAGUGACAAAGCUCUUCAUGUACUUCAAACUGAGGCAGAAGACACUUUCAGACUUAUGGAUAACCUGUGCUUUGCAAGACAGCCCAGAUGUGACUGCUGCCCCGGGCAAACCCAAGUUCAUGGCAGAGUAGUGGGUCUGGAUGUGUUCCACUGAGAACACCGAUGGUUUCAGCUGCUUGGCUGUUGUGAGCAGGGUGGUCACUGCCACUCACUCGCUUUCCAAGGACACCUGUGACCUGUCAGCCUGUCCCAGUGCGCAACAGCAGUAAGAAAAAACUAAGUUACUUGGUAGGAAAUUCUCCUCUUGAGGAAGACUACAGUAGAGAUUGAAAAAAAUUUUAGAAAAGAAUUCUAUGGAUAUUCAGAGGCAUGAAAGGGCUUCCAUACAAGAAACAACGACGUAGACUCAACAGUCUGAAAAAGAGAUGACUAAUAACAGGGUCUCACACAAAAGGAUUGGAGAGAAAAAAAGAAAUUCCACAAGAGACAACAGGAAUCAUCCAGUUCCAGCUUGUCAGAUGUCCUGUGUCCAAUGUGUGUUGCCACCUGCCCAUGGAUAAACUCUCUUUCAGUCAUGUAACUUAAGAGAUGAAGACCUUUCUAAUUAAUCAACAAGUGUGACAAAUAUAACAGGUACAUUGCAUUUGUAGGGAGUGAAAGAAACAGAGUCAAAAUCCAAUACUGUGACAAACUGAAGAAAAGAUUUAUGGUAUAAACCUUUUGAGUAAAUUGUUAAUAAAUUUUUCUUUCCACCACUAAAGCUUCUACCAGCACUGCUAGUUUUGGCAGCAGAAACCACUGCAAGAGAAGCCUGGAAUAUGUGCAAGAGAGCUGCUACAAACCAGACUUUUUAUCAGUUCUCUUGUUAAAAUAUCUGCCAGUAUUAACCAUUGGGUUUAGCCUUCAUGCUUCCCUACAUUACAUUUGGUGCUCCUUCUGUCUCUUUAUGAAGGAUUACAUUGCCCUAGUUGAAUCCCUCAACAAAAAAAUCACUAAAGGGCACAGAAAGGCUUUAACUACACUUUUUUAAAUUGCACACUCAAGGAUGUCAGACUGCUGGAGUGAGACCAACAGGUUUGUCCUUCUGCAACUGUUACUGUCCUAAACUUUGUUUGUUGUGAGAACAUGCAGAUAAUGCAUUAGCUCAGCUUGAUAAAGCACAAUGGCUAUUAAAAAACAAAAGUAAGCCUGAAAAAUGCAACAUAUUUCUCAGUAUCAUCCUUGAAUGACUGCUCCCCAUGCUUUUUAUUAGGAAGAUUCAAAGAUGCCAGUAACCUUACAGCUGGUGACGGUAAUAGCAGAGGGUAACAAGACAGAAAUAAUGAAUGCCUCCUUGUUAAGCAGUGUUGUUUGUGCUGUUCCAGGAGAGAUCUGCCAAGAACUUUUCAUGCAAACCUUAUUUUUCUGGGAUCUGUAACUUGGCAGCAAAAAAAUUCCAGGAUGAUACCCAGUUCAAAAUAAUUCAGAUUACAAGCUUUAAAAUAUAUUUUUGAUUUUUGGAACAAAUUAAAUUUAGACUAAACAAGAUAAACACUUUAGUACUUCAUGUAUUUUUGUUGCUUUAUUGAAAGAAAAUUUGUGGUUAUCAAGUUUGCACCUCAGAUAAUUUUAUGUUUUCUAGCUCUUGGGUAUUAAAUAAGUCUCAAGUACUACAGUGUGAAAGGAGACUUUGUGCUGUAUGGUCAAGAUUUCACUGAAGUGUAUUUUCUUUUUAAGGAAGACUGUAUGAAAUACAUAUGAAACACUCCUUAUUUUAUCUGCCAAACAAUUCAGUGGAAUAAAUCUGUGCUAAUUCUUAAUACAACUCAGCUGACCUAGGUAUAAUGCCAGGUUGUGGAAAAAAAAAAAGGCUAUUUAACAUUUAGCCCAAAUUUCAAUGUGAAAUUAUGUCAGGUUGUUUUUGUUUUGUAUUUGAACAAAUGAUUCAAAGCUUUGAGCCACACAAAAGUCCAAUUUCAGUGUACCCAUUUCAUUUUUUGCCUCUUGACUCAUUACAACCAGCUAAUUUUGUAGAGCUCCUGGCCAAAGCAACAUUCUUUCCUGUGGCAACUAGCAUGAUAUACAGAAAUUAGAUUUCAGGCACAAAAUUAGAUUUCAGCCCAAGCUAAGGAAGCUUUCUAUCAGGUAAUAGCCAGGUGUCAAGAAACAAGAAGGCUGCCAUAGUUGCCUGAGUACUGGAAUUGGUGGCUCAGCCUACACCUAUGAGGAAUAAACCUCCAGCAACUCAAAACUAAAAGGAGAUAAUCAAAACAUAUAAAUAUCAUCAAUAUCAAUUACUUUUCUUAAUACAUAUGGUGAGGUCAUUUCAAGGAAACACCAGAAAGAACAGGCCAGAAAAAAACUUUAAAAAUAUUCUACUGAUUUUCCCUAGAUCACGUUAUCCCCCAAAACAGCUCAACCUACCUUACAGUUGGAGACAAAUCAAAACUAUGGAAGUCUAUGAAACCUCAGUUCCUUUGAGAUUAUUUGCAAAUCAGCUAACAUGCUGGGUGUACAAAGACAUUACCAUUCUUGGAGGGUUUGCAUGAACUGGAACUUGGAGCAAAAGGCAAGGCUGCCAAAAGGCUUCUGUCUUACUGACACUGUCUGCUCUGCAAGGAGCCACAAAGGGAGUCAGUGGUUCCAAGAGUGUGUUGGCCCUGGGAAGCAUGACAUGUCAUUCUUUAGUGAUUAAAGAGCCAGCAGAAGCCCAGACACCAUCUCCAUUCAGAUGGCUCCUAACCUUCUGUUGAUACACAAGGAACCUGUUCUCUAGCAGCAGUGAGGAUAUUUCUGUGGGUUUGGGCUCUUUUAGAUAACAAAAUCAGAGCAAUGUAGUAAUCAAAGCCCUUUUUUUGUUACCCUUUGCCUAGUCCUACAAUAUCUAACACCUGUAUUAUUCUCGUUCUGAACUAAAAUGGUUCAUCAGUCUGUUCAGCAUUUGCACCAUGGUAUCUUUGACUACAAGUCCUAUGAUGUGCUACAACAUAAACAGCAUGUGGUUUGGGGUUUUUUCUGUUUCUCUUGAACUAAUCCAUCUCCAGUUCAUCUCUUUACCCCCAAGGAAAAUCAAGUUUUAUUCUUAAUUAUACCAGUACAAUUCCACUUAAGAGCUUGGUGGUGAAAGACAAUAAAGCAUGGCUACAUGCCCUCUACCUUGAACACGCUUUCUUACAGAGACUGUUUUUGCAUCCCCAACACUUUUGGUGACCAUGACUUACUGCUUUUCCUACUUCUCAAAGUGCAGACUACCAACUGCAACAGAGACUUUCAAAAGCCCAUUUCAACAGUUACCCAACGCAUAGCAAAAUACUCACUCAU